UACGUAGGGGGCAAGCGUUGUCCGGAAUCAUUGGGCGUAAAGAGCUCGUAGGCGGUCUGUUGCGUCCGCUGUGAAAACCCGGGGCUUAACCCUGGGCUGGCAGUGGAUACGGACAGACUAGAGGUAGGUAGGGGAGAAUGGAAUUCCCGGUGUAGCGGUGAAAUGCGCAGAUAUCGAGAGGAACACCUGCGGCGAAGGCGGGUUGCUGGGCUGACACUGACGCUGAUGCGCGAAAGCCAGGGGAGCGAACGGG
rnacentral:rRNA from 1 species